AACGCUGGCGGCGUGCCUAAUACAUGCAAGUCGUACGCUUCUUUUUCCACCGGAGCUUGCUCCACCGGAAAAAGAAGAGUGGCGAACGGGUGAGUAACACGUGGGUAACCUACCCAUCAGAAGGGGAUAACACUUGGAAACAGGUGCUAAUACCGUAUAACAAUCGAAACCGCAUGGUUUUGAUUUGAAAGGCGCUUUCGGGUGUCGCUGAUGGAUGGACCCGCGGUGCAUUAGCUAGUUGGUGAGGUAACGGCUCACCAAGGCUACGAUGCAUAGCCGACCUGAGAGGGUGAUCGGCCACAUUGGGACUGAGACACGGCCCAAACUCCUACGGGAGGCAGCAGUAGGGAAUCUUCGGCAAUGGACGAAAGUCUGACCGAGCAACGCCGCGUGAGUGAAGAAGGUUUUCGGAUCGUAAAACUCUGUUGUUAGAGAAGAACAAGGAUGAGAGUAACUGUUCAUCCCUUGACGGUAUCUAACCAGAAAGCCACGGCUAACUACGUGCCAGCAGCCGCGGUAAUACGUAGGUGGCAAGCGUUGUCCGGAUUUAUUGGGCGUAAAGCGAGCGCAGGCGGUUUCUUAAGUCUGAUGUGAAAGCCCCCGGCUCAACCGGGGAGGGUCAUUGGAAACUGGGAGACUUGAGUGCAGAAGAGGAGAGUGGAAUUCCAUGUGUAGCGGUGAAAUGCGUAGAUAUAUGGAGGAACACCAGUGGCGAAGGCGGCUCUCUGGUCUGUAACUGACGCUGAGGCUCGAAAGCGUGGGGAGCAAACAGGAUUAGAUACCCUGGUAGUCCACGCCGUAAACGAUGAGUGCUAAGUGUUGGAGGGUUUCCGCCCUUCAGUGCUGCAGCUAACGCAUUAAGCACUCCGCCUGGGGAGUACGACCGCAAGGUUGAAACUCAAAGGAAUUGACGGGGGCCCGCACAAGCGGUGGAGCAUGUGGUUUAAUUCGAAGCAACGCGAAGAACCUUACCAGGUCUUGACAUCCUUUGACCACUCUAGAGAUAGAGCUUCCCCUUCGGGGGCAAAGUGACAGGUGGUGCAUGGUUGUCGUCAGCUCGUGUCGUGAGAUGUUGGGUUAAGUCCCGCAACGAGCGCAACCCUUAUUGUUAGUUGCCAUCAUUUAGUUGGGCACUCUAGCAAGACUGCCGGUGACAAACCGGAGGAAGGUGGGGAUGACGUCAAAUCAUCAUGCCCCUUAUGACCUGGGCUACACACGUGCUACAAUGGGAAGUACAACGAGUCGCGAAGUCGCGAGGCUAAGCUAAUCUCUUAAAGCUUCUCUCAGUUCGGAUUGUAGGCUGCAACUCGCCUACAUGAAGCCGGAAUCGCUAGUAAUCGCGGAUCAGCACGCCGCGGUGAAUACGUUCCCGGGCCUUGUACACACCGCCCGUCACACCACGAGAGUUUGUAACACCCGAAGUCGGUGAGGUAACCUUUUGGAGCCAGCCGCCUAAGGUGGGAUAGAUGAUUGGGG
rnacentral:rRNA from 1 species